rnacentral:lncRNA from 1 species
GGGUUUAGGGUCAUACCAAAUUUCAUAGAUAUCCAUCUAAUUCUUGUCAAGACUUCAUACUAAAAUCAGCAAAUAAUAAAAAACAGUUGACAGCAUCCUAUCAAAGUUCACAUCCAUCAGUCCAUAGGUUGUUGAGAAAUUUCAGUCCAAACAAACAUGGUGAACAAGCCGUGAAAGUGGCAUUAUAAUCUCAAAAACCAUGAAAAUUAAGGCCAGUUUACACAUUUGUAUAAGGCAAGAGAGAAAAGAUUCAGAUGGUUCAACUAUUUUUAUUAUUUCUUUAGUACAAGGCUAUUUCAUCAUUCAGUCAACCUGAAAUUGGCGGAAACAUAAUCUCUCUGUUCAGCUGAGAAACCCACUGAAAUCAACAAAAAGACCCAUAUCUGUUCAGUUGGGAUGCCUCUGGUUGGACAAAAUUACUGCUCACCUACUCAAGGAUUGCUGGUUAUCAUUUCUUCUUUCUUUUUUUAUCAUGGCCCUGUUGUUAAUGAAAUACAAAUUUUGGGAAACUGAACCUUUCAGACAGACAGAAAAACAUGUUUACCUGACGGCCAUUAACCUUUACCUUCAGCUGAAUCUUAUGAAGAAAUUCAGCAUGCACGCGCCUUUGGAAAUGUAAAUCUACUCCUCAUCCAUUAAGGAACACUUCACCAGUGACAGGUAGCCUUUCCAGAGCUUAUAGUGCAUACUAAGCAAGCUGCACAUUAAUGCACCGCAGCUGCUGAGCAUGCAUGGAAACUGUGGUCUAGAUGGACUCAUAUUCUGCAUGCAAAUAUACAUGUCAUAUCUUCACACAAAGGAGGCUCCUCCAGUGUUUGGAGCUGCCUCAUCAGAAAUCCAUAAAAGUCUGCCUUUUUUAUGAUUUUUGGGGCAUUUAUGAUAAUAUUCAUACAACAUUCUCUAAGCUGUAGAUUUAACCUUUCACAUGAAAUUUUAUUGGCAACUUUGGAAAUAUAGGAACGCACAUAAAAAAUUAUAUGUUUGAAACUUUAGACAUGCUGCGCUCUCAUUAAGUUGUUUAUUUAAGAGAGGCUCUGUUAAACAAUGUUAUGCUGGGCCUUGCAUGGUAGUCACUCUUUCUCGAAACCCCCUCAGGGACCACUCAGGGAAGUGUCUGGUUAACGCACUUGGCUGACAUGUCAUGAUAGACAAGGAGUGCACCCCUGAGCCCUAGUAGCCCCCAAAAGAAGCCCAAGGUUAUAUCAUCAAGCCUGGGUCAGCUGUAUAAUUGGGCUUGGGGUCACCGAAAGGAUAUGGAGCGUGACAAUGAGGCUAUAGAGUUACAGUUUGUGGCCGGGCAGCGAGAGGGGCGAAACAGCGAGGCCAGACGUCCCUUUAAAGAGUUCAAGGUCCAUCUGUGAGAGUGACUCCAGCCCUGUUCACUGUCACUGCUGGUAUGUGUGUCACUGCCCGGCAGCCUUUAGUGCACUGCUGGGAGAGCGGGGCGGGUUUGUUGUGGGAAAGAAAUAAAACUUUCAAGAAGACGAGUGAGAUACUUUGAAUAAUUACUGUCAGCACACUCUAAAUUAUUGACGUCAUCCCUUCAGCGACAGGAAAACACCAGGGUUUACAGAAUGGGAGUAUGUACUGUUCAGUGUCUUCAGUGCUUAUGUAUUUGUAUGAAUACCACAAAAACAGACCAUAUCAGAAACAUCUGGACUGCUUUUGGCACAGAGGCCUAGAAUCAACUCCUGCCACAUCAUAAAAAGCUUUACUGCUGUUGGCACUCACACAAUACCACCAACACAGCCCACAGAACCACUGACAAACCCACAUCGGUGGACACUAUCCAGCUCACUGCUGUCGCUAAACCACCUGGACUCCACCUACUAAAAUUAAACAGAACCUACUGGCUGUGAUUGCAAACUAUGCACACAUGUAUUUUCAGCAGGUGUUGAAAAAGUCUUAAAUAUGAUUUUAUUAACUUUGUCAAUAUUUUUUUUGUUGUUGUGAUGUGGCAACAAGUAGAUAACUCAGAAAGGGUGUAUGCAGCGUUUGAGCCAAGAAAGUGCUGCACAGUACAUUCCUGUCUUUCACCACACCUCUGCAACUGAUCGCCAUUAUACAGUAUACAUAUAUUUACUUUUCCUUUUUUUGUCAGACCUCAUUUUAUAAUAAUUUGUAAGCUUCGUGUGGAAUUUUCUUGUAAAGUUACUCAUCUGUACAAAAUCACCUCACAAUUACAAACAUAUUUUUAACAUAAAAGGAUAUUUAUUGUGCAAGAGGAAGUCUGCUGAGUUUCUAAAGUUCACCUGAAUGGAAAAAAAAAAAUCUAAUGCUGGGUUCAAAAGGAGCCUUUUGUAUUUUCUAAUUACCUUUACUGCGACUUCAGGUUUCCUAUAAGCUGAAAGCAGGGAGGAAGGGGCAUGGUCAUCAGCUGGUUGCAAUCUGCUUCCUAAUUGCUUCAUGCAAGUAAAAAAAACACUUACACAUGGUUCAAAUUUAAUGUUGAUCCAAUUAUAUGAAAAGAAACAAAACAGAAAUAUAGACAGUGAUCCAAAAUGAUGCAAUGUGACGUGAUGCAAAGCAAUGCAAAACAAUACUACAAUGCAAUUCGAAAAACAACACAAGAGAAGAUGAGAUGCACGUGGUGCGACAUGAAGAGAUAGGAUGAAAUGGGAAAUGAUUGGAUGCAGUAGAUCCACUACGACACAAUUAGAUGCAAUACUAUACAUAAAAACAAUAUGUCACUCCAUGAUUCUAUACAAAAGAUGGGACAAAAAGGAAAACAGUCAAAUCUCCAGAAAACAACACAAGAUGGGUGACUACGAUCAACUAAAUAGCAACACCCACAUUAGGGCUGGGCGAUAUGGCCUCACAUCAAUAUCACAAUAUAUUGAGCAGUUCACCUCGAUAUCGAUAAAUGGAUGAUAACUACUCCAGGAGCUGCUCACCCCCUCCCACAUUUACUUUGUCUACUUCAGUCGCCGCUCCAACCGCUACAACUUUUGAACCGUCCUCCAUCUCCUCACCUGUCUUUCCUUCUUUGUUAUGGACUGGAUGGGGUGGAGUCACGUCUCUGAUGUAGGACAGUGUCUUAUAAAGGGAGAUGAGACUAUAGCAUACCUACACACAUCCAAAACCAACUUCUAUUUAUUUUUUUGACACUAAAUAUACCAAUAUGGGCAAAAUGACGUCAGUUAUUGUCGUAAAUUUCAUUAUUGGUAAAUUUUCAUCUUAUCGCCCAGCCCUAACCACAGCCAUCUUUUCUUGGUGAAAAUGGUAAAGCUGGUAAAAAAAUUAGCUCAAAACAAACUGCUUGCGGUUUCAUAAUAACGUCACUUUGUACAGUGGACUGUGGAGGUAGUGGUGCUGACAUCAAGCUACUGUGCAUUUUAGUGGAAAUUGAGUUUUCGGCGUAUUUGGGAGCCAGAAAAGUAAGAGUAAGCAACAUAAUAGAGUUAGCCUACUGAACAAAAAUGUCAGUAAGUGUCAAAUGAGCUGAGUCACUUUGGCAGUUGUAUCUGGAGAAACAGACAAAGACCAGUGUUGCACCCAACUCGUAUGGCCUGGUUCCAACGCUAACCAGUAUAGUGACUGUUGUGUUUACCUCACAGCACCAGACUGCCAUCUGCUCCAGUCACAAGACUGCUCGCACACGUGAAAUAAAACCAAACUCCACUUGUAUUUGCAAAUAAUUUCUUUUCCACUGCAAAACAAGAGACGGUUGAAUCAGGGGGUUAGAGCGAGAAGUAUGUGGACAAGUAUUCAUUCAUCCAGUUAGUAACACGCCCCUUUUGCCAUCCAGGAUGGGGCAGGCGGGUGUGUGACGUCAAAUACAAAAGGUCAAUAGAGGAUUCUGACUAAUGUUUACGGUCAGUUUCUAUCAAACUUGCUGUGAGCAGUUGGUUUUUGACUACUUCUCUUUGCAAGGGUCAAGGAUGGCAUAAACAGAUUUGUUAUUUAGUUACAUUUUAGAUUUUGGUUAUUAAGUGACAGACUUCUCAAAGGCACAGAGUGAUCCUGUGAUGAACGAGCUCUGUGAUAAAUGAUAAGAAAAACUUGUAGCUGGGAGGCUGCAGAUACAGGACUUACUGUCUGAGGGGGGUCAUCAUCACUGUCUGUGUGUACGUGUUUGUGAGAGAAAGCACGUGAAAUCCUGCAUCUGCCUCUGAGGUGAGCACCAAAAAAGUCCCGACUGCACACAGAGCCUGAAGGAAGGUAAGAGGCAGAAGCAACAGCCUGUAAUGCACCUCAGCUGUGUUAACAACAGCAGUUCUGCCGAGGCGACGGAUCACUGGAGUGGUCAUAAAAACAAAGCAAGCGCAAACAUGGAGCAGGGGGGCAGCUGGUAUGUAAAACUAGAAUCUAGGAUGGAGGUGAUAUGUACAAACAGAGUCUAACUCUCUUCACUUCUGUCAUGUUUUCAUUAGUAAGAGACGCAGGGAUAACUCCCUCUGCUGUACACAUUACCUUUAGCUCGAGAACAAAGUGUGCGCACCAACCCGUAGGCUAAUGUAAUGAGGGUCAUAACUUUCCCAUCACUACAAUGUUACACAUUGAUGACUGAUGGACUGAGGAUAUAAACUGUUAACUUUCCUUAAGCUGUUCCUCAAGUGUCCUCUUUUGGGGCCAAGAGGACACUUCCUCUCCUAUUACACUGAAAAAUGUUGGCACAUCGCCCUGCCAUUCUUUCCUAAUGCUGGUUACACAAGCUUAAAGAUCCUCCGUGUGGAGGCGUGGCUACACUCACUGAGUUAACUAAAGUAAUGGUCAUAUAUAUGAGGUGGUAAACAAGAAACCCUUUACAUUUUAUGUGGUCUGUAAAGGGGAUUAGGAAGAUCUCUAAAGGCAUUGUUUUGUGUUGUCAUGUUGUUAGGAGCUAAAGCGUUUAUUGGGCAACUACUCUGCAGGAAUGUGUCCUAUUGUUUGGGCGCCUGCGACGUAAAAACUUCCUCAUGUCUUCCUACACGCCAUAUUUUUAACCACCCGGGAGGUAAACAGCUUCAAACAUCAAUCUGAAGGGCUCAGUUGUCCUUGGGUGUUUAACCACACCACAUACACAUGUAUGUCAGACGCUCUUCGACAGGAAAUGAGCAGGCAGAUCAUACAGGAGUCGGCCAAACCAACAUGUUUAUCAGCUGUGUGCAAGUCUCAGAUUAUCUGAUAACAAGUACUGGACUUUGAUGGGAUCCGCUGAGGGUCAUGGUAAUGCAGUCCAAUCCUCUUCUCCACUUACAUAAAGCAUUUAAAGAAACAAUCUGCAGCUGAUCUGGGGAUCUGCUUGGUGUUAUUAUCUUGUUAGGGCCAGUUAAGAGGCCGUGUCUCUGAGGGCUGAGCUGACCCUGUCAGGAAGGCGACACUUUGCUCUGUGGGCUGCCAUGAAACCACAAAGGCGUUAACGGCCCAAACCUCCCUUCCACACGGACACUCGAAGACACAAACACUCACACAAAGACAGACAACAACAUGAGCCACUUCACUGCCCUCAAGGUAUUUUCCCUGAUCUGUCAAGAGCGUCUGUCUGUCAGUGUUUGAAAUAUGAGCAUGAGGAUCUUGAGACUAAAACGUGUGAUAACUUAUAAUUGAUGUAUAAUUUCCAGACUCUUCUUCUUGCUUAUCUAUCAUUCAGAGUAUUUAUAUUACAGCUGCCCUCAAAUUGGGUCAUCGCUGAAUCAUAUAAAAUCUUACAGUCAAACAUGUGUUGCUAGUAGUUGUAUUGAGUGUCUCUUAAUCUCAUCACUAGUUAGAAAUGGAUUCCACUCCCACAUUUUCCAAAUGGUGCAGUCCAAGUUGCAGUCAGUGACAAAUUACUGUAAUAAAAGUCUCAGUUGAAUAAUGGCUCAGUAUUGAUUUUGUUAUUAAACAUUGUGUAGACACUCAAACUUUUUUCCAUGUGGCUAUACAGGUAUCCAGUCUUUUUUUCUAUAUCUAAUUUAAUUAUCUUAUCGAUCGGUGUGAAAGGACUUGAUAAUGGAAGAAUGUCUGAUUUGAUUUUGUUAAUUUCAGUCACUUCCUUCACCUAGAGUUCAGAAAACUUCAGUUAUCAUGCUGUUCCUGGGUUUCUGUUCAACUUAUGCUCAAACAACGAGCAGAAAAACAAAACUGAUUGCUGGUACUGAGCCAUUCAGAGAGAAGACAAUGAUGUCGUGACAUACACUGACCUAUAAUUGCCAACAGCAGAGUGCGGAGGGGGCAGUGAUUGGCUGGCUUUUAGGGCCCUGUGGCCUGAGAGGAUGAGAGCCAUCAUGCAAUUGCUCGGGAUCAGCAAAUCACUGUCAGAUGCACACAGGCUGGACCACUCCAAGCCAAAGCUAUUUUCCCAUUAGACCCAGAGGGCACAGGGACAACAACCGAAGCAAAAAAGGGUACAGUGAGAGCCAGAAAAUCCUGUACGUGUUUUCCAAUGAUUUCACAAAAAGUAAAACAAAUCAUAUUAAGCGUAAGAAACAAGUUAUUUUUACAUCUUUGCGCAAUUCUGUUCUCUUCAGUGUUGAGUGGUUGAAAGGUCAAACAAUUACAAAACAGUUUCUUCUGAGCUUCACUCAUUCAAUGACAGAGAAAAAAGCUGUUCUCAUAUUUGGGUAUACAAUCAAUAAAUGAAUGAUUAUGCGCAUAACCACCUCACAUUCAUGCACUGCGAAAAAAAGUCUACAUGUGUGAGCUAGGGCUAGGCGAUAAAACAAUAACAAUAUAUAUUGAAAAUUAUUUCCCUCAAUAUCAAUAUAAAACAUGGUCAAUAUGCUUUUCGAUAGUCAUCAUUCUGCCAUGUUUUGGUAGACUAUAUGAAUAGCCAAUGGAAUGGGAGUUGCUCCAGGUCCGGAUCAUGUGCUGAAUUAGAACCAAGUAGCAAACAACUGCAUAGUAUCAGGCUGCAGCUAAACACAACCAUAGUACUUUAACACGUGAAGCCGACAGCACUGUUGGUGAGAAAAAAGAAAAUGAGCGCUACCCCGGCAGAAAUGCAGAUGAAGGCUCAACAGAUGAUGACAUCGUCGGCAACACUGGCACAAAAACGUCGGUGGUGUGGAGGUAUUUUGGUUUUUUGAGGUCCGACAUGAAGCAGAGUGAUGUGCACUGCAAAUUAUGUAGAGUACAUGUUCUCGCAAAGUAAGAGAAUACUUCAAAUCUUUUUCACCACCUGAAGCAGUGCCACGCACCAGAGCACGUGCAAUGCAAAAGGUUACAAACCCCGAGCAGAGCAGGGAGCCCAUGGCGCAUGUGCAGCCGAAACAGCCGACCAUUCAGUCUGCUUUCUCUAGGGCAACGCCGACAAACAUCAGAGACACAAAGACCUCACAGAUGCAGUAGCUUAUUGUAUUGCAAAAGACAUGCUACCAAUAAGCACUGUUAAAUUUUAAUUUUUUAUACUGUGAUAUAUAUUGUGAAAAACUUUUUCCCAUAUUGCCCAACCCUAGUGUGAACACAGAUAUCCUACUCUGCCUUUUUCUAAUAUCACUGAAGUAAAAAGUCCUUGCUAUGUUGAAGUCGUCCAACAGUGUUCUCCUCACAUAGACAAUACUUGGGCAGGCCAUCUAAGUCCACCUACCAGCUGUUUUAGGACCCACAUUUCUCUUUUUUCAUGCAAAUAAAACCACCAUACUCUACCCAGGCGCCAUCCAUCACCGAAACAAAAUCAAACAUUCCUGGUUGUUAGAAAGCAUCUGACACAGUCUCCCAUUGUGUGGGACAGGUUUAAAGGGUAAUUCCGUAAGAUGUUAGGACUUUAAAAGAGACAACAUUAACAGCAGCAAGAAAGGACACAUUUCAAGAUAUCCGUUCAUUUCUAAUCUGCCAACACAGAUUAGAUGAACUCCAUUCAAACCAUAAUUGCAGAUUUCCUUAAAUCACUGCCAAAGCUGCCCAGUUUAACAAGCUUUUGAAGACGCUGUAGAAAAACUGCUCCUAUUAGCCAGUCAGCCAGUUUCUGAUGUCUUAAUGCAGGUCAGCUCCCAGACCUGCAGCUGCACAGAGAAAGACAGACCAGGAGAAGACGAGUGGGGGGUUUUGUGGAAUAAAACCUAGAAUCAGCAGCUCUCCCUCUGCCUCCCUCCUUAUCUGCUCGCACAGCCAGCGGAGAAGCACACAGACACAGCACUCUCAGUCACAGCCAAGCUUUCCUGGCAUCUCUCCCCCCACUAUGGAGAGAUGAGUUUGUCCUCCCAUCUACACCUCUGUGUGAAAACCCAACACACAUCCAGCAGCAGCAGAAAC